rnacentral:tRNA from 1 species
GAGGGUAUAGCUUAGUGGUGGAGUGCAUGCUUAGCAGGCACGAGGUCAUGGGUUUGAUCCCCAGUACCUCCA